UACGUAGGGGGCAAGCGUUGUCCGGAUUUAUUGGGCGUAAAGAGCGUGUAGGCGGCCAGGUAGGUCCGUUGUGAAAACUCGAGGCUCAACCUCGAGACGCCGAUGGAAACCAUCUGGCUAGAGUCCGGAAGAGGAGAGUGGAAUUCCCGGUGUAGCGGUGAAAUGCGCAGAUAUCGGGAAGAACACCAGUGGCGAAGGCGGCUCACUGGCCCGAUACUGACGCUGAGGCACGAAAGCGUGGGGAGCAAACAGG
rnacentral:rRNA from 1 species